rfam:Exophiala xenobiotica strain CBS 118157 unplaced genomic scaffold supercont1.2, whole genome shotgun sequence.
GCCUCUAUGGCGCAGUGGUAACGCGUCGCACUUGUACCACUGGAACAUAAACCUGUUCCUUAUGCCACAACCAAUGCGAAGAUCUUCAGUUCAAUUCUGAAUGGAGGCA